rnacentral:rRNA from 1 species
UAAGGCGCCCGUGCCGUAAACCGACACAGGUGGGUGAGGAGAGUAUCCUAAGGCCAGCGAGAGAACUAUUGUUAAGGAACUCGGCAAAAUGACCCCGUAACUUAGGGAAGAGGGGUGCCUGUCUAUGACAGGCCGCAGAGAAUAGGCCCAAGCGACUGUUUACCAAAAACACAGGUUUCUGCUAAGUCGUAAGACGAUGUAUAGGAGCUGACGCCUGCCCGGUGCUGGAAGGUUAAGGGGAUCUGUUAGAGCAAUCGAAGCAGUGAACUUAAGCCCCAGUAAACGGCGGCCGUAACAAUAACGGUCCUAAGGUAGCGAAAUUCCUUGUCGGGUAAGUUCCGACCCGCACGAAAGGCGUAACGAUUUGGGCACUGUCUCAACAAUAGACUCGGUGAAAUUGUAAUCCCGGUGAAGAUGCCGGGUACCUGCGACAGGACGGAAAGACCCCAUGGAGCUUUACUGUAGCUUGACGUUGGGUCUUGGUACUACAUGUACAGGAUAGGUGGGAGACUAUGAAGCAUGGACGCCAGUCUGUGUGGAGUCAUCCUUGGGAUACCACCCUUGUAGUACUGGGAUCCUAACCAUAGGCCUUGAAUCAGGUCUUGGAACACCGUCAGGUGGGCAGUUUGACUGGGGCGGUCGCCUCCUAAAAAGUAACGGAGGCGCUCAAAGGUUUCCUCAGCACGGUCGGAAAUCGUGCGAAGAGUGUAAAGGCAAAAGGAAGCUUGAUUGCAAGACAUACAGGUCGAGCAAGGACGAAAGUCGGACUUAGUGAUCCGGUGGUACCGCAUGGAAGGGCCAUCGCUCAACGGAUAAAAGCUACCCUGGGGAUAACAGGCUUAUCUCCCCCAAGAGUCCACAUCGACGGGGAGGUUUGGCACCUCGAUGUCGGCUCAUCACAUCCUGGGGCUGUAGUAGGUCCCAAGGGUUGGGCUGUUCGCCCAUUAAAGUGGUACGCGAGCUGGGUUCAGAACGUCGUGAGACAGUUCGGUCCCUAUCCGUCGCAGGCGUAGGAAAUUUGAGAAGACCUGUCCUUAGUACGAGAGGACCGGGAUGGACGUACCUCUGGUGUACCAGUUGUUCUGCCAAGGGCAUGGCUGGGUAGCUAUGUACGGAAUGGAUAAGCGCUGAAAGCAUCUAAGCGCGAAGCCAACUUCAAGAUAAGAUUUCCCACCGUAAGGGUAAGACCCCAGGAAGACUACCAGGUUGAUAGGUCGAAGGUGUAAGUGCAGUAAUGUAUUUAGCUUAUCGAUACUAAUAGGUCGAGGACUUGAUC